rnacentral:rRNA from 1 species
UACGUAGGGUGCAAGCGUUAAUCGGAAUUACUGGGCGUAAAGCGUGCGCAGGCGGUUGUGUAAGACAGAUGUGAAAUGCCCGGGCUUAACCUGGGAACUGCAUUUGUGACUGCAUGGCUAGAGUUUGGCAGAGGGGGGUAGAAUUCCACGUGUAGCAGUGAAAUGCGUAGAUAUGUGGAGGAACACCGAUGGCGAAGGCAGCCCCCUGGGUCAAGACUGACGCUCAUGCACGAAAGCGUGGGGAGCAAACAGG